UAUACCCCGGCUCAUAAAAGUAAAUGUCGGUACUUAGUUCUGGGCUGCCUACACGAAAUGUGAGACACGGUACACGAGCAGCGUCAGGGGCGUGCUGGAGCAGAUUGACGUCAUUAAACGCUUCGUACGCAAAUACGAUGACGUGUUCGAAUUCGUCACCUCCACUCAGGGAAUCCGUGAAGCCAAAGCGAAG